AGAGUUUGAUCCUGGCUCAGGACGAACGCUGGCGGCAUGCCUAACACAUGCAAGUCGAACGCUAUCUUGUAUAGAGUGGCGCACGGGUGAGUAACGCGUGGGAACCUGCCUUUCUCUGCGGGACAACGGUUGGAAACGACCGCUAAUACCGCAUACGCCCUACGGGGGAAAGGUCAGCCGGAGAAAGAGGGGCCCGCGUUAGAUUAGCUAGUUGGUGGGGUAAUUGCCUACCAAGGCGACGAUCUAUAGCUGGUCUGAGAGGAUGAUCAGCCACACUGGGACUGAGACACGGCCCAGACUCCUACGGGAGGCAGCAGUGGGGAAUAUUGGACAAUGGGGGCAACCCUGAUCCAGCAAUGCCGCGUGUGUGAUGAAGGCCCUAGGGUUGUAAAGCACUUUCACUGGUGAAGAUGAUGACGGUAACCAGAGAAGAAGCCCCGGCUAACUUCGUGCCAGCAGCCGCGGUAAUAC
rnacentral:rRNA from 1 species